rfam:Rhodotorula graminis WP1 unplaced genomic scaffold RHOBAscaffold_15, whole genome shotgun sequence.
GGGGAUGUAACUCAGUGGCAGAGUGCCUGCUUCGCACUACUUGGCGCGCUUGCAUGAAGUCCAGGGUUCAACUCCCUGCUUCUCCA